rnacentral:rRNA from 1 species
AUACGGAGGAUCCGAGCGUUAUCCGGAUUUAUUGGGUUUAAAGGGUGCGCAGGCGGCCAUUUAAGUCAGCGGUUAAAUCGUGGGGCUCAACCCCAUUCUGCCGUUGAUACUGGGUGGCUUGAUUGCGGUCGAGGUUGGCGGAAUUCGUUGUGUAGCGGUGAAAGGCAUAGAUAUGACGAAGAACACCGAUUGCGUAGGCAGCUGACCAGACCGCAAAUGACGCUCAUGCACGAAAGGGCGGGGAUCGAACAGGAUUAGAUACCCUGGUAGUCCGCACAGUAAACGAUGAAUACUUGUUUUCGGCGAUAUAAUGUCGGAGGCAAAGCGAAAGCGAUAAGUAUUCCCCCUGGGGAGUACGCCGGCAACGGUGAAACUCAAAGGAAUUGACGGGG